GAAUAAUGUGUUAAACUGACACAUUAUGAAAAGAUCAUUUAUGAAUAGAAAGUUUCUUUCUCUAUGCGACCUUUUGUUCAAGAAGUCAGGCCUCACUGCCUCAUCUAUGUGUCAGCGACUGACUGACGGCACCUGAACGCACCACGCCUUUCAGUGAAUCCAGCAGACACGUCAGUGAGUGUUUAAAUUUUAUUGACUUUAGAAUUUCUCAUAAAGGUCCGUUUUCAUUUCUUUACAAAUAUAAAGAUUCUUAGAGCUGUGGGUGAAGCAGAAAAACAAACAGGAUCGGGUGAGAAAAUUUGUACUCUCCCUUUAACACAGGUCCAAACUCCUGUUGGUUCUGGUUCAUCUCUGCAUGCCGUGGUUUCAGUACAGCAUCAGUGUGGUGAUCUGUUCAAAACCUCACUGAGAAUGUUGGUGAGAAAACAUCUACAAAUGGGUGGAGAAUCCAACUGGACAGCGCCCCCUAGUGGAGGAUUAGUGCAGGAACCUGAUGGAGGCAUCCAGCCAAGAUAGAAGUUUGAGUAGAAACAUUGGAGCAGUCUCACAGGCUUGAUGGUGUACAUCUCAUGACAAAGAACACAGCCCAAUAUGGCUGACUGAAGGUCCAGAGCUCUGCUAGAGAGAACAAAAAUGAGGGAGGAGGGCCCCAGGAAGCCAGCAGGGUGGUCAGAGAGGACCCAGCAUCUGCAGCUCUGCAGGCAGCCUGACAGAUGCAUAGA